rnacentral:rRNA from 1 species
GUUCAGAGUACGUGAAACCGUUCAGGGGUAAACCUGAGAAACCCAAAAGAUCGAAUGGGGAGAUUCAUCGUCAGCGCAUUUUGUAUAUGUAUAAGUUAUGAUGCGGGUUACUCUUUUUAGAGUAUUGCCUGUACAUUCUUGUAUAUUUUGUUGCAAGAUGUUGUCGGCGUGCACUUCUCCCCUAGUAGGACGUCGCGACCCGUUGGGUGUUGGUCUACGGCCCAAAUGGUAGACUUUAAUGUUUUAAUAAUAUUAAAGACCUUUGGUGUUUCCUGACCAACUGCUCGGCGGUAUUCGUACGGUAUUAAGCCGCAAAAUUUAAUAUGCGUCCAUACCCGUCGCAAGCGAGGUUUAGUUUUUGGUAGUACGGACCUAGUGCCGUCGCUGAAACUGAUCAGCUGUUGGUUGUACGGUGUUCUAGGACUGGCUAAAAACAUAUUACCGGUCGGCGAUGCUACUGCUUUGGGUACUUUCAGGACCCGUCUUGAAACACGGACCAAGGAGUCUAACAUGUGCGCGAGUCAUUGGGAUAUUUUAAAAAUUAAACCUAAAGGCGUAAUGAAAGUAAAGGUUGUCCUUGCGUCAACCGAGGGAGGAUGAGUUGUAUUGUUUGAUACAGCUUCGCACUCCCGGGGCGUCUCAUUCUCAUUGCGAGAAGAGGCGCACCUAGAGCGUACACGUUGGGACCCGUGGUAGAGUUGGUUGUAUAUUUUAAAAAUU